AUNAUCACUNCAGGGGGGUUCNUANUUAGCGCCGCAAUUYCCUWRMCACMUGCAAKUCGAACGAAGAAUUGUAGUAAUACGGUCUUAGUGGCGAACGGGUGAGUAACCGCGUGGGUGACCUGCCCCGAAGUGUGGGAUACCAGUCCGAAAGGACUGCUAAUACUGCAUAACAUCCAGGAGAUUAGAACCUGCKKGAUUAAAGGAUUUUUUCGCUUCGGGAGGGGCCUGCGUCCCAUCAGCUAGUUGGUAAGGUAAUGGCUUACCAAGGCGAUGACGGGUAGGGGACCUGAGAGGGUGACCCCCCACAAUGGAACUGAAACACGGUCCAUACACCUACGGGUGGCAGCAGUAGGRAWUWUUAGUAAUGGGCGAAAGCCUUGAACUAGCAACGCCGCGUGUGCGAAGAAGGCCUUCGGGUUGUAAARCACUUUUUGAGAGGACGAGGNAAGGACGGUACUCUCAGAAUAWAGUCUCGGCUAACUACGUGCCASCAGCCGCGGUAAYMAGGCAAUUGUUUAACCUCAGNCNGNCCCUUNUGA
rnacentral:rRNA from 1 species